rnacentral:lncRNA from 12 species
UAAAUUGUCCAAUAUUACAUGUUUUUCCAUCUUAUAUUCAUUUUCUUUUGGCCUGGAAAAAACCUAGCUAAGUAGGCUGCAUUAGCAUCCCUUGAAAGAGUAGGAAAUAGAGGCAGAGAGGUCACUGUGAAGUGAUUUGUCCAAAGUUGCAUAUCUAGCAAGUGUCAGAGUUUGGAUUUGUCUCCAAGUUUGGUGAUUCAAAGCUUGUGUUUGUUUGAUUUUAGCUCACUUCCCCACAUUGCCUCAGCUCAACCUCCUUUGUAGCCUUUGGGAAUCGAAGGAUUUAGGGAAGGAUCUAGAGUCAGAGCUUUAUUCCCUUAACCCCCAUACAUAACCAUUCUCUCAUCUUCCUCUCUCAGGCGGAGACUGCAGCUAAACUUGUGUGCAGCUGGCUGUUAAGUUUAGUGAAUCCUUCUUUUUUGACAGCAAUGUAACCUGCCAAAUUAUCCUCUACAGGAAGAGAUUGACAUCUUCAAAGUGCUGGAUCUGACUCUGUCAUUUGAGCCCAAUCCUUCCAUCUUCAUUGCAUUAGCACUUGAGAACAGCUUUCUUAGGGGCUUUGCACUGAAUGUAUCUAUAUGCUUGAACCCUUCAUCAAUAACCACUUAUUUGGAAAAUUAAAAUUUUUAUCUUUCCCUAGAAGAUUCUGGUUCUUAGCUUAUUACUGGUGAUGAAAGUUCAAAAAAACAACAAUGAAUAUUUGUUGAGGAUCUGCUAAGUUUUUAGCCACUGUGCUAACCAUUUUAAUAUUUAUUUUAUUUAAUUCUCAUAAUAACCUAAUUAGCUAACUAUUGUUGUUAUUUUACACAUUAGGUUAAGAAACAGGAGAAUUUGCCUGUGAUCGUACAGCUAACAAAGUGGCAAACUUGGUAUUUGAACCUGGAUUUUCUUUCCUUUUUUUCUUUUUUAAAGAUUUUAUUUAUUCAUGAGAGACACAGAGAGAGAGAGGCAGAGGGAAAAGCAGGCUCCGUGCAGGGAACCCGACGUGGGACUCGAUCCCAGGUCUCCAGGAUCAGGCCCUGGGCUGAAGGCGGCACUAAACUGUUGAGCCACCUGGGCUGCCCAGAACCUGGAUUUUCUGAUGGUGGAAGCAGCCAGACAAAAAGAACUAAAGCAGAUCCCAAUACCAGGGAUGGGACUGAAAAGAAGUCAAUGAGGCUGGGACUGUGUGUAAAAAGGUUUAGGACUGCAUGCCAAUAAAUUAGAUUCUGUUAAAAUAAAGAGCUUUAAAGAGAGAAAAGGCA